UAUUGAAGCUUCGGCAGAUUUAGCUUGUUUCUAGUGGCGGACGGGUGAGUAACGCGUGGGUAACCUGCCUUAUACAGGGGGAUAACAGUCAGAAAUGGCUGCUAAUACCGCAUAAGCGCACAGAGCUGCAUGGCUCAGUGUGAAAAACUCCGGUGGUAUAAGAUGGACCCGCGUUGGAUUAGCUUGUUGGUGGGGUAACGGCCCACCAAGGCGACGAUCCAUAGCCGGCCUGAGAGGGUGAACGGCCACAUUGGGACUGAGACACGGCCCAGACUCCUACGGGAGGCAGCAGUGGGGAAUAUUGCACAAUGGGGGAAACCCUGAUGCAGCGACGCCGCGUGAAGGAAGAAGUAUCUCGGUAUGUAAACUUCUAUCAGCAGGGAAGAUAGUGACGGUACCUGACUAAGAAGCCCCGGCUAACUACGUGCCAGCAGCCGCGGUAAUACGUAGGGGGCAAGCGUUAUCCGGAUUUACUGGGUGUAAAGGGAGCGUAGACGGUGUGGCAAGUCUGAUGUGAAAGGCAUGGGCUCAACCUGUGGACUGCAUUGGAAACUGUCAUACUUGAGUGCCGGAGGGGUAAGCGGAAUUCCUAGUGUAGCGGUGAAAUGCGUAGAUAUUAGGAGGAACACC
rnacentral:rRNA from 1 species